rnacentral:rRNA from 1 species
CCUACGGGAGGCAGCAGUGGGGAAUAUUGCACAAUGGGGGAAACCCUGAUGCAGCGACGCCGCGUGAGUGAAGAAGUAUUUCGGUAUGUAAAGCUCUAUCAGCAGGGAAGAAAAUGACGGUACCUGAUUAAGAAGCCCCGGCUACCUACGUGCCAGCAGCCGCGGUAAUACGGAGGGGGCAAGCUUUAUCCGGAGUUACUGGGUGUAAAGGGAGCGUAGACGGCAGCACAAGUCUGGAGUGAAAUGCCGGGGCUUAACCCCGGAACUGCUUUGGAAACUGUGCAGCUAGAGGGCAGGAGAGGUAGGUGGAAUUCCUAGUGUAGCGGUGAAAUGCGUAGAUAUUAGGAGGAACACCAGUGGCGAAGGCGGCUUACUGGACUGUAACUGACGUUGAGGCUCGAAAGCGUGGGGAGCAAACAGGAUUAGAUACCCCAGUAGUC